UACGUAGGGUGCAAGCGUUGUCCGGAAUUAUUGGGCGUAAAGAGCUCGUAGGCGGUCUGUCGCGUCUGCUGUGAAAACUCAGGGCUUAACCCUGAGCUUGCAGUGGGUACGGGCAGACUAGAGUGCGGUAGGGGAGACUGGAAUUCCUGGUGUAGCGGUGAAAUGCGCAGAUAUCAGGAGGAACACCGGUGGCGAAGGCGGGUCUCUGGGCCGUAACUGACGCUGAGGAGCGAA
rnacentral:rRNA from 1 species